GGAUGCUAGAAAUCACAGGCCUGCAGCCUGAGCUGGCGUGGUAGGCGAACCAGGUCGGGGAAUUCAUGGUUUGGUCCAGAGUGGCUGCAGGCAGCGUGUCGUGGAGGUCUGGGGAAGCAGAGCGUGCCGCCUUUAAAGUGCCCUGGUUACCUCCAUGAGUGAUCAGCCCACCAGACAAGUCCCUGGCCCGACCGUUGUCCUCCGGCGUAGAGAGGCAUCGUUGUCAGAGCGCCGGUGACAACCUGGCUAAGCGGAAAGGAACCGGGGUGAAAUCCAGCUGGCUGGGGGACCACAGAGGACAGCUCAUCACCCCGCUUCAAGCCACCCACCUCUUGGACGUGGCUGGCGGAGCUCUGGCCAAGUCCACGCAGGGAGCUAACAGAAGAGCCUGGGGACCAGCGCCAGGAGCAACGCUCGACUCUCCCUCCAUCCCGCCUGCCACAGCCAGAGCUCCCCGAGUCAGCCAGGCCGCCUCCCGUCAUAUGGCCAGCGCUGACCGUGGCACCCACAGGCAGCUGCUUCCUUGUGUCCCUGCUUGGCAAUGAUCCGAAACAAAGGCGGCCCCGGGCCGGUCGCCAGGCUCCUGCAGGAGGCUCAGAGAGCUCUGGCGUACUUCUUAGUGAUGUACACGCUCUUGCUGGGCGGGCUCCUGUGCGCUGGCUUGAUAUUACAAUACCUGGCACCGCUGUGAGCGGAGACGCCACCGCAGGCCCAGCCUGGGUCCCAGGAGACCUGGGUCCUCGUCCUGGCUCUGCCGGUGACCUCGGACAAGUCACGUCCCUGCUCUGUGCCUCAGUGUCCCCACCUGCUGCUGGCCGCCGGUGCGAAGUGCCUCGAGAUCUACUGAGGAAAAGCGCUAGAGCAGAGCUAGCUCGUGUGAUGAUGCAGGGAAGGACUGAAGGUGUCUCACGAGCCGCGUGGAUUUUAAAAGCAUGUGUAAUCCACACCUACUCAGCGUGGCGUUCUGGUCCCCUUUUGUGGGGCCGGGGCCACCCGCAGAGAGGCUGAUGAACCCGGUGGCUAUGUUAGCUCAGGCAGUAGCAGGGGCUUAUGCUUUAAGAUCUCCAGUUCAAUUCCCCCUCCCACCCCUGGCAGUGUUGUGUAACACAUUCAGUUACUGCUGCUCACGUGUGCCGAGAGGGUGCUCCUCCGCUGGGGGAAGUGGGCCCACAGGGAAGAUGCAUAACGGCCCCUCAGCAGUGGGAUGCACUGCGAGGCCCUGAUCUUGGCUGGACUGUCUGUGUGUGCAAUAGGCUAAUAAUAAUCAUCAUCAUGUUGACCAUGGAAGUUGUUUGUAUUUGCCAAAGCGGUGUCCAGGCUGUGGGGGCCGCUGCCUUCCAUUUAAUGCUGGCAUUUCCGGGGACCCAGGGCGGGGUGCGGAGAGGGAGAGAGACAGCCUGGCGGACAAAGGUGAUCACUU